rnacentral:rRNA from 1 species
UACGUAGGGGGCUAGCGUUGUCCGGAAUCAUUGGGCGUAAAGAGCGUGUAGGCGGUCCGGUAAGUCCGCUGUGAAAGUCGGUGGCUCAACCCUCGAAUGCCGGUGGAUACUGUCGGGCUAGAGUGCGGAAGAGGCGAGUGGAAUUCCUGGUGUAGCGGUGAAAUGCGCAGAUAUCAGGAGGAACACCUAUUGCGAAGGCAGCUCGCUGGGACGUUACUGACGCUGAGACGCGAAAGCGUGGGGAGCAAACAGG